rnacentral:lncRNA from 1 species
CAGAAAGUAACUUUACUCAAUGCAUUUUUGAGAUCAAUAAUUCAGAGCACCAUGCUUGCUCUUUUUUUUAGCUUGCUACUGAAAACAGAAGGGUAAUUAAGACAAUCUAUUUUCUUUGAACAAAUUUAACUCCCUCCAGUAUACACAUCUGCUUUGAUUUUCUUGCACUUAGUUUAUGAACUUGUGAUUACAGUCAUUUUGGAAUGAAGGAAGCACAAUAAUGAUAACCUGCUCACAUGGCAUCACAAUUCAUGAACAGCAUUUGCUGGCUGAUUGAUUUAGCAGGUAUGGGUAGAAGUAUCAAUGACAAAGAACACAAAUAUGUUGUGGUUUUGUGUUUCAAUACAGAAAGGCAGAAAUGUAAUUAGACAGGAAGCAAUGAUGUAGGAGUAACUAGUCAUUUGCCAUUAUUCAUCUAUCAAUUCAACCAGCAUUUACAGAGUGUUCACUAUGAACAGUUGUCACUGUCUGUUGAGUCUUUUACUAGUUUGAACUCCCUGAGGAAUUGUCCCUGUCAUGUGUCAUUUCUAUCUUUGUAUACUCAAUAUAUAAUACUGUACUGGCUUCAGAGUAAGGACAUAAUGAACAAGCAUCGAGUUGAACCGAAUUGGGUUGUCUGGUUCUGGCAAAUAGGGGGUAAUUAAAAAGUUCAUGGGUUCAGUGACCUCUGCCUAAUAGGGCAGGAAUUAUUGGCAGCAAGUAAGCAACAUAUGACAGCAAUGAGUUGCUACUACAUGCUAAGUACUUUUAUUUAUAGCAAUUUUAACCUCAACAACCCUGUGUGUGUGGAAGGGGGGCGGAGGGAUUACUAUAUAGAGAAACUAAGACUGAGAACCUUUUUUUAUUAUUUUAGAUUCAGGGGGUACAUGUGCAGGUGUUUUUUACAUGUUUAUAUUGUAUAAUACUGGGCUUUGAGCUUCUGUUGAACUCAUCACUUAAGUAGUGAAUGUACAUUCAAUAAGUAGUUUUUCAACUCUUGCCCCUCUCUCAUUUUGGAAUCCUAGUGUCUAUUGUUUCCAUUGUUUAUGCCAAUAUGUACUCAUUGUUUAUCUCCCACUUAUAAGGGAGAACAUGCAGUGUUUGAUUUUCUGUUUCUACGUUAAUUCACUUAGGAUAAUGGCCUCCAGCUGCCUCCGUAUUGCUACAAAGAACAUGAUUUUAUCCUUUUUUAUGGCUGUGUAGUAUCCCAUGAUGUAUA